rnacentral:misc_RNA from 1 species
GGGCUUGUAAGAUGCUUGCUGAUCAAUUUCUUGGAGGUACAAUUAUUGACAUGGACAGGCAGAAGGGUUCAGGGAAUAUGACACCAAGAAUUACCUCCCUUGAUCCACUUGGCUUUUACUCUUUGCAAAGUGAAGCAGCAGCUGAAGUGCAUGGCCCAGAAGAAGUAACAACUCGUUUGCAUCACCAGGGGGCUGAUUGUUCCACUGAGAGCUGCCUAACUUCAAAUGAGAGUCCUCGAGGACUUGCUCUGGAAGGAUAUACAGUUGGAAGUNNNNAUUCUGAGUUUGGAUUCAACAACAGCAUCUCUGAUUUGGAAUGAAGCGAAGAUAAGAACCUCGGAGGUUAACAUGAGCACAGUUAUUCCGCUUGGACUUGCUGGGC